UCAGCACUUUUACGUUUUUAACCCGCUGUGUUUUGGUCUUUUCUCUUUCGUCUCUUUCCAUCUUCUGUUUCCUCCUCUCUCUGACCCCCACUCGCUUCUGUUUCCUCUCAACUCAGACCGCCACACCCUCGCCGCCGGCGAAGCAAAACAGAGACACCACCGCCUCCAUCAGUGAAGCACGGUCUCUCGCGCCGGAUGUCUGACCCGUGGUUUAAUCCUCCAUCCUCCUUUCCAACCUCAAUCCCGCAUUCCUCCGGUCUCAGCCCGACGAAGACGAAGAAGGAGACAAAGGCAGAGAAAUCCCAUCCUCCAUCUUAAUGAGAAACAGAGGUGCGUGAAGAAGAACACCGACGGAUCUCCUCCGAAGAAGCAGUAGAGGUGCGAAAUCUUGAGUGGGAAAUUCUAUUAGCUGCGAAUAUGAGGUUAGAGAGGGAACUUGAUGCGGAUUCGGACUCGUUCCUAGCAGCUUUUCAGGGUGAAAGUGAUGCAUAUACGGCUGAAUUUGAUGCCGUUUUCAGGCGAGUUGUGGAGAUUGAAACAGGUAAUCCUCCGGCGGCAAAAAGGUUUAUGGAGAAUCUUCCCUCUGUGGAGUUAACGGUGGAGGAAUUACUGAGGAACACUGUGGUUUGCGCAAUUUGCAAGGAUGCGAUUGUGGUGAAAGAGAAGGUGAGGCGGCUUCCGUGUUCUCAUUACUAUCACGGGGACUGCAUUGUGCCGUGGUUGAGCAUAAGGAACACCUGUCCCGUUUGUCGGUAUGAGUUGCCCACCUAGGAUCCUUAGUAGAGGGCUGGUGGUCGUGGUGGCGGUGGCGAGCUACGUCCUGAGGGGCUGGGCUUGCAGGGAACAGCACGCAAGUUGUGGUCUGUGGUCUGGUGACUUUCGGUUAAAAAGAAAAAGCUGAAAGCAACAAGAAGAAGACACAAGAAGUUGGAACGGGAGCACACGAAGCAUGUGGGGGCAUAAAGGCAGCAGCUCUUGGCCUUUUGAAAAGGUGGCAAAGUUUUCAAAAUAAGCAGGAAAUUAGAGCAGAAUCUGCUAGACAGUCAGUGUCAAACUUGAAAAGGUUGUGCCUUGUGCUGUCCUUGCCAUUCUUCUCCAACCUUAUACUAUACAUUUUCGCUUAACUCGGGUCCUUUGGGCAUUUGGUGUGUAUUUGGAAUCUGUUUCAGUGCUGCCUCAGCUACGUUUGAUGCAGAAUGCAAAGUAGCAGGUCACAAUCAUAACAUCCAAGUACUGCAUUUAAAAUAAUGGAUCAUACAGCUAGGCGCAGAGGUGGAUCAACUCCAAAAGCAGCCCCACAAAAGAUUCAAUGUUCUCUCGAUUAAUGCCGUGAAUGAAGACACCACAUGACAUCUACAUGGAUAACCCCCAAAACUUUGUAACCACCAUCUGAAUGACCAAGAAAACAAUUCCAUGAUAUUUUGUUGUACAAGGAAGAAACUAUAAUUUGAAUUCCCACAAACUUGCUUUAUUUCCCAAAUUUGUUUAAACCUAUGGUUUGUUUAAACUUAUUACUGUCUGGCUUAAUAGUUUGUAACUGGAAUUAGAUUAUUAUCCUUUAGCCAAUCAUUACGUUACGUUUUGUUUUGUA